rnacentral:rRNA from 1 species
UACGGAGGGUGCAAGCGUUAUCCGGAUUUACUGGGUUUAAAGGGUGUGUAGGCGGACUAUUAAGUCAGGGGUGAAAUCCCGAGGCUCAACCUCGGAACUGCCUUUGAUACUAUUAGUCUUGAAUGUUGUUGAGGUGGGCGGAACGGGUCAUGUAGCGGUGAAAUGCAUAGAUAUGACCCGGAACACCGAUUGCGAAGGCAGCCCGCUAAGCAACUAUUGACGCUGAGGCACGAGAGCGUGGGGAUCAAACAGG